AUUGAACGCUGGCGGCAGGCUUAACACAUGCAAGUCGAGCGGUAACAGAGAGAAGCUUGCUUCUCUGCUGACGAGCGGCGGACGGGUGAGUAAUGCCUAGGAAUCUGCCUAGUAGUGGGGGAUAACUUGCCGAAAGGUAAGCUAAUACCGCAUACGUCCUACGGGAGAAAGGAGGGGACCUUCGGGCCUUUCGCUAUUAGAUGAGCCUAGGUCGGAUUAGUUAGUUGGUGAGGUAAUGGCUCACCAAGACCGCGAUCCGUAACUGGUCUGAGAGGAUGAUCAGUCACACUGGAACUGAGACACGGUCCAGACUCCUACGGGAGGCAGCAGUGGGGAAUAUUGGACAAUGGGGGGAACCCUGAUCCAGCCAUGCCGCGUGUGUGAAGAAGGUCUUAGGAUUGUAAAGCACUUUAAGUUGGGAGGAAGAGCAGUUAACUAAUAUUUGACUGUUUUGACGUUACCGACAGAAUAAGCACCGGCUAACUUCGUGCCAGCCGCCGCUGUAACAC
rnacentral:rRNA from 1 species